rnacentral:rRNA from 1 species
UGGGGAAUAUUGCACAAUGGGCGCAAGCCUGAUGCAGCGACGCCGCGUGAGGGAUGACGGCCUUCGGGUUGUAAACCUCUUUCAGUAGGGAAGAAGCGAAAGUGACGGUACCUGCAGAAGAAGCGCCGGCUAACUACAGU